ACGCACGCUGGCGGCGUGCUUAACACCUGCAAGUCGAACGGAAAGGCCCUGCUUUUGUGGGGUGCUCGAGUGGCGAACGGGUGAGUAACACGUGAGUAACCUGCCCUUGACUUUGGGAUAACUUCAGGAAACUGGGGCUAAUACCGGAUAGGAGCUCCUGCUGCAUGGUGGGGGUUGGAAAGUUUCGUCGGUUGGGGAUGGACUCGCGGCUUAUCAGCUUGUUGGUGGGGUAGUGGCUUACCAAGGCUUUGACGGGUAGCCGGCCUGAGAGGGUGACCGGCCACAUUGGGACUGAGAUACGGCCCAGACUCCUACGGGAGGCAGCAGUGGGGAAUAUUGCACAAUGGGCGGAAGCCUGAUGCAGCAACGCCGCGUGCGGGAUGACGGCCUUCGGGUUGUAAACCGCUUUCGCCUGUGACGAAGCGUGAGUGACGGUAAUGGGUAAAGAAGCACCGGCGAACUACGU
rnacentral:rRNA from 1 species